CCUACGGGGGGCAGCAGUGGGGAAUAUUGGACAAUGGGCGAAAGCCUGAUCCAGCCAUGCCGCGUGUGUGAAGAAGGCCUUCGGGUUGUAAAGCACUUUCAGUGGGGAAGAAAGCCUUGGGGCUAAUACCCUCGAGGAAGGACAUCACCCACAGAAGAAGCACCGGCUAACUCCGUGCCAGCAGCCGCGGUAAUACGGAGGGUGCGAGCGUUAAUCGGAAUUACUGGGCGUAAAGCGCGCGUAGGCGGUCUGAUAAGCCGGUUGUGAAAGCCCCGGGCUCAACCUGGGAACGGCAUCCGGAACUGUCAGGCUAGAGUGCAGGAGAGGAAGGUAGAAUUCCCGGUGUAGCGGUGAAAUGCGUAGAGAUCGGGAGGGAUACCAGUGGCGAAGGCGGCCUUCUGGACUGACACUGACGCUGAGGUGCGAAAGCGUGGGUAGCAAACAGGAUUAGAUACCCGGGGUAGUC
rnacentral:rRNA from 1 species